GUAGUAGUAAUCUGCCCGCCGCGCUCUCCGCUCGCAUUCUGUGUCACGGUGCCACCGGGAGAGGGGCGACAGACUGCUGCGCGUCAGGGGAUACCAGUCACCAUCCGCACGGUUCAAGCGACAUCCCGCCGCGGGCAAUGACAUUUGCAGACUGAAGUGGGAAUACACGAGAAAACGCAAAAAUGACGGUGGACUUUGAAGAAUGUAUAAAAGACUCACCCCGAUUCAGGGCUGGCAUUGAUGAUGUGGAGACAGACGUGGUGGAGAUAGAGGCCAAGCUCGACAAGCUGGUGAAAUUGUGCAGUGGGAUGAUCGAGGCUGGCAGGGCCUAUGUCAGCGCCAACAAGCUCUUCGUCAACGGCAUCAAGGACCUGUCCCAGCAGUGCAAGAAAGAGGAGAUGAUAUCGGAAUGCCUUGAAAAGUGCGGAGAAAGCCUCCAGGAGAUCGUCAACUACCACAUGAUUUUAUUUGACCAGGCUCAGAGGUCGAUCAAGCAGCAGCUUCACACUUUCAUAAAAGAGGAUGUGCGCAAGUUUAAGGACACCAAGAAGCAGUUUGACAGGGUGCGCGAGGACAUGGAGCUGGCCCAGGUGAAGAAUGCACAGGCCCCCAGGAACAAGGUGCAUGAGGCCGAAGAGGCCACCCAGGCACUCGUCCUCAGCCGCAAAGCCUUCAGGCACCUGGCCCUUGACUAUGUACUUCAGAUUAAUGUGCUUCAGGCUAAGAAGAAGUUUGAAAUCCUGGAUGCAAUGCUGUCCUUCAUGCGUGCCCAGUACACUCUGUUCCAACAAGGCUUCAACAUCCUGGACGAGAUUGAUCCCUAUAUGAAAAAACUGGCUGCACAGCUGGAUCAGCUGGUCAUCGACUCUGCCAUGGAGAAGAGGGAGCUGGAGCACAAACACGCCCUCAUCCAGCAAAGAACUCUGAUGCAGGACUUUUCUUACGAUGACCCCAAGUUGGAAUUCAAUGUGGAUGCACCCAAUGGUGUGGUCAUGGAGGGCUACCUCUUCAAGAGAGCCAGCAAUGCUUUCAAGACCUGGAACAGGCGGUGGUUUUCUAUACAAAACAGCCAACUGGUCUACCAAAAGAAACUCAAGGACUCUUUGACGGUGGUGGUGGAGGAUCUGAGGCUGUGCUCAGUCAAACCAUGUGAAGAUAAUGAGAGAAGGUUCUGCUUUGAGGUGGUUUCACCCACUAAGAGCUGUAUGCUGCAGGCUGAGUCUGAGAAGCUGCGGCAGGCUUGGAUCCAGGCAGUCCAGGCAAGCAUUGCCUCUGCUUACAAAGACAUCGCUGACAAUUACUACAUUGAGCGUUUGGAUCGGACAGCCUCGCCUUCCACCAGCAGCAUCGACUCUGCCAGCGAGCCCAGAGAGAGGGGUGAGAGGGCUGAUAGGGGGGUUCGGGGAGGUGGGGAAAGCCUCCUCCAGAGGGUGCAGAGCCUGCCAGGGAACGAGCUGUGCUGUGACUGCGGCCAAACAGCGCCCUGCUGGGCAUCCAUCAACCUGGGAGUGCUGCUCUGCAUCGAGUGCUCAGGGAUCCACAGGAGUUUAGGCGUCCAUUGCUCUAAAGUGCGUUCGCUGACAUUAGACUCGUGGGAGCCAGAAUUACUCAAGCUGAUGUGUGAACUGGGGAACACUGUGAUCAACCAAAUUUAUGAGGGAUCCUGCAAGGAGCUGGGAGCGAAAAAACCUGGACCGUCUAGUUCAAGACAGGAGAAAGAGGCCUGGAUCAAGUCUAAAUACGUGGAGAAACGCUUCCUGAAGAAGAUGAGUGGAAGCGAGGCACUGGUGGAGGGUGAAAGGAAGUCCCGGCCCUGGACAGUGAAGAAGUGCCAUCGACACAACGGCUCUGUUCGGGCCCCCAACAAGGCUCGCAGGAAAUACCAUCGCUACGAGCCGGGCAACGCUUCACCUGCAAACCUCUCAGCGGCAGCUGCAGCAAAGUUUCGCCGGGACUCCCUGUUCUGUCCAGAUGAGCUGGAUUCGCUAUUUUCCUACUUUGACACUGGCUCUGGUCCUCGCAGUCUUAGCAGCGACAGCGGCCUGGGAGGAAGUACUGACGGCAGCACAGACAUCCUGGUUUUUGGCUCAGUGGUGGACAGUGUCACAGAAGAAGAGGAGGAGUCAGAGGAGUCCUCCAGUGGUGAGGUAGAGAUCGAACAGGAAGUGUCUUCGGACCCUGAAGACCCGAGGGAGCUGCACCCCGGGGCACUCCUCCACCGAUCCUCCCGUCUACACAACCUGCCUCUCAUGGCGGAGGCAUUGGCGCAUGGGGCUGACGUACACACUGCAAGUGAGGAGGAGGAGGGGAAAACGCCACUCAUUCAGGCCGUGAUCGGGGGUUCUCUGAUAGCUUGUGAGUUCCUGCUACAGAACGGAGCCGAUGUGAACCAGAGGGACAUGAGAGGCAGAGGCCCACUGCACCACGCCACCUACCUGGGACACACAGGUCAGGUGUGUCUGUUCCUGAAGAGAGGAGCAUCACAGACGGAGGUGGAUGAGCAGGGUCAUGACCCACUAAGUAUCGCUGUCCAGGCUGCCAAUGCAGACAUUGUCACCCUGUUGCGUCUAGCGCGGAUGAACGAGGAAAUGCGAGAAGCGGAGGCUCCCUUGGGUCAACCAGGUCAAUACCACAGCAGCAGCCCCACUGAGCAGCAGUAUAGGAAGUGCAUCCAGGAAUUCAUCUGCCUCACAAUAGAGGAAUGCUAGGGGUCAAUUCUGUGUCCAGGAGCAUAGCUGGCGCUCUCUCCCUCUCUCCAUACAUAUAUAUAUACAUACAUAUAUUCCUCCUAAUGUAAACAAAGUUGCCCCUAGACACUGAUCUCAAGUCUGUUACUUACGUAGAUCUAGGCUUACGGGCAACUUCUUGGGGUUGUCUGAGGGGAGAAGAGCGUACCACUUACUCAUUAUGAGGGGCGUUGUCUGGGGAGACCCCUGAUGGACCUUUUUAACUAUACUGACACUACACUCCAUUUUUCUGCAUCACCACUAUGUUUCUGCUUGCCAUUACUCGGCACCACCCAUGCUAUGCUAGCUACAUGACACACACACACAGUAAAAUGACAUCUGCUUUUUGGUGUUUUGCUAACGGGGUUAUCCUCUAACUUAUCAUAACAUGGUGUAACCUCUUGUGUAAGGGUGCGGGUUUACUGUUGACUAGCAGCUCUUACCUCUGAAGAAUCUCGCUGCAUUAACCCCCUACACUUUAUAUAUAUCCAGACCAUCUGUGUGACAUCCAACUUACCCAUCUCUUCUUAAUCGGAAAUGUAAAUAUGCAUAUUUAGAAGUUAUAUGGGUAAUCUUUAAACUAUGUGCUGUGGCAUGAGGUGAAAAAAAAUGGUAUUUGUUCCAUUGCUAAAAGAAAAAGAGUAACUGACAAGCUAGAGUAGAGGUGGGCAGUGUUGUUUACUGUGUAUAAAGAGGGGUCAGGAAGGGAAAUUUAAUGUAAAACUGUGACAAAAAUACUGAAGGGCUUGUGGAGAAGAGACCCUUGCCUGCUUUGUAAGAUACUUUGUGAUGUGAGUGAAUGAGUGAGCGAGUGAGUGAGUGAGUGAGAGUGGACAGGAGAGUAAAUGAGGGCAUGUGUCAAAGAAUACUGAGAGACAGAGUUAAAUCGUAUUAUAUUAUGAUACAUUAUGUAAAGGAAAAAAAAGAAACUGCACUUUUCCCAUCUACAGUAUUAUAAUUUUGUUUUAUUUUCAUUCAGUUAGUUUUUACAUUGUUCUUGUCUAGUCAAGUUAUUGUCUACCUAUUGUCUUAUUUAUGUUUAUCUCCCCAGAGGACCAGUGCAAUUCAUUCUUUGAUGCAGUCUACUUCUGCAUUCCUGUUAACGAUUGUCAUUUUGAUCUGAAAGCAUUACAUGGAAUUUAUGACAGUAUUUAGAUGACGCCAUGUAAUAGCACUCAUGAAAGACUUGUUUCAUUUUCACUUUGGAGUGGCCUUACAUUGCUACGAGUAUGACUAUUGGCAUUUCAACACACCUCUGAAAGAGAUUCUCUGGUAACGGACUCUAGUUACAAUGUACUGUUUUAUUUAUCCAUACAUCCGUUGUCUAACUAGUGAGGACUAAGCAGCAAGUCUUGCAGUGUAGGGAGGGAAUGUAUAAAACUGGAAUCAUAUCUCUCCCUUAAACAGUUCUACUGUUCACUAUACAAAGUGAUUCACGACACCUCCAUUUUGUUGUAAAUACUCAUCCAUGUUACAAUAUCUUGUGGUGAGAUAAAGGAGCACAUGUCUUUAGAACAGUUUACACACUUGUGGGGUCAAAGGACUUCUAUAUCUGGCUUCCCUCACUGGUCAAUGCUUACAGUAUUCUCUGCAUGCUUUGCCAGAAUUGUUUUUGGGAGGUUCAACAUCGUUUGCAUUCUGAGCAUGAUAAAAUAUCUUUCUAUGGUUUGUUCACAUCGUGCAGUGCAGUCCUGUGGAAUAAGCAUGUACCACCAUGACCCCUCUGGUGUUUCUUACUUUUUACACCUCUGUGCCAUUCUCCCAUCCACAGACCAAAUCUGUGGUGACUUCCUCAUUCUUGUCUUUUUUUUGUUUCCACAAAAGCUUGCAACCAUUAAUUUUUAAUGUUGUGGUUUAUUUUCCUCUGCCAAAGACUUUUUAAAGGGAAAGUGUCUGACAUUGUUGUAUAAUAUCACCAUUUUUUUUGUUUGUUUUUUAAAAAACUGAAACUGUUAAGAGUAGAUACAACAUAGUCUUACCAUGCUUUGUGAAGUGACAGAGUGGUAGAAACACUGUUGGUGUACUCAUGUGUUCAAAAGAGGUUACAGAAAUGUGACAGACCUGAGAGAUUUUGAUAUGGCAGGUGAUAAUCUGCAAUAGUUCAAUGUACUGCAAGUAGAACCAGUCUAGGGGGUGAUGUGAUGCUACUGUGACCAAACUGUUAGGGCCCUCGCCCUAGCGGACGUAUUAAAUGUUGUGUCCAUUGUGUGUAUUGACAUAGGAGUGGUUAAAGGUGCUGUUCAAAGCAAACAUGCUGUAAAUAGUACACUUGUGUAUUUUAACUCAACGCCAACUGUCUGCCUCUCAGCAUUCAAUCACAGAUCCUGACUGUCUGAUCUGUUUUAUGUUUGUCUUUUUAUUCUCUUCCAAAAAGUAAAAAACAACAACCUGUCAGUCAGAACUGUAACACAGCUCUGCACUACUUGGAGGCGUUCUUCUGUUCACUGACAUUUGGAUAUCUUUGGAAUACUUUCUUCCUUGUCUUUAGAAGCACUGAGGGGAAAAAAAAGAAAACAAACUGCAUACAAUAAAACUGAUAAACUCUUGAUGAACUAACCCUGCUUCCUGCUUGUUGCUCUGAUUUCUGUUUCCUGUCUCAUCUCUUAUGCAUAACAUUCUCUCAACAUUGCAGCAAUUUGUUUGAAAAUAUAUCGAAAAUAGUUGCUCUAAAUGAUCAAUGGAUAAAUACUAUACAUAUAUAUGUAUAAACAUUGUCAGAUGUUGGGAGAAUGCUAUUUUAUUACAAUCUGAUCUGGUGUCUUUUGGUCUAUAACAAACUUUUGGGUAGCACUUGGCUUAUUCAAAGCAAUACAAUUGUUUCCUUCAUGAUAAACAUAAAGGAGGUGUACACUCAGACAUCUCCAGACUAGGGUGACCAGAUUCCAACAAACUUAAUGUUGGACAAAGAGUAUGUUGUGGGACAAUGUGGGACAUGUUACCAGUGCUGAGAGGUAUUCUGCCCUUUAGUUCAUAAAAUCUCUAUGCUUUGCCCUCUGGAUGACUUGAAUGCAACUUUCCCACCUCCCACACAGCAAGUAAAUACAGUAAGCAUAAAAGGGAGCUGAAGUUUCACAGUUUUUAUUAUGGCCUUAUGCCAUAGUCUGCAAUAUUCAUCUUCCAUCGAAUACUGCUUAAAUCUGCAUAGCUUUUUGACUUUGUGGUGACUUGCAAUUUUCCCCAUUGGGCAUAGCAAAUACGGUGAUGGGUUAACCUGCACUUGACCCAUGUGUGCGUGGUUGCAUUGACAUAAAACACAGCCCCAUGAUGACAACCAUCCCUGCUUUCUUCACAGCCAGUGGAUAAAAAACAGAUUUUAGAAAACAUCUGUCAUGCAGUGAUUUGACUUUUGAAAACUAGAGCCAAAUCAAUCAAAAUGGGGGAUGUGGGACAAUGGAUAAAAAUGCCAUGCAGUCCCACAUAAAGUGGGACACCUGGUCACCCUACUCAGGACUGACAAUAAAUUAAAGAUCCCUUUAGUGUUUAGGGUCUUGUGUGUUUCAAACAGUGCCUCAGUUUGUAGCCUGCAGCAUCAACACUGUGCCUUGAAUAAUUCAGUGUAUCCAGCGUGUAAAACAUUUAUGUGAUCUCACCAGCAUUGUUGCACCAUCACUGAUAAAUGUUUUCACACGUAAGAAAUGUCUAAUUCCACGCUUUACAGUUGAGGUAAACAGCACAUUUCCACUUAAAGAAUAAACACUGACUGACCUAUCAUUGCUUCUGUUACCACAGGGGUUACCACAGGGGUUGCCACGGGCAGCAGGAGAGUUAAACCCACGGAUGUUCGGGAUAGAGUGUCUUCUCCUGUGUUGAUGUCUUUCGCGAAUUUUCUCUCCUCGCGUCUCUCCAGCCCGAGAAGUUGAGGAGAAGGAGCGUACAGUUCAGCUGCAGCAAGAACCCACAAUGACCACUGACCACUCAGCUCUUCAGUAACUUAGGAAUCAAGAGGGAAGCAGCCACUAAAAAUACAUCUUGAUGCUGGUUCAACUUUUGAUGUUUAAAACUUUGCAAGCACUAGUUGAGGCACAGGCUUCUAAUUGUUCUCAAUUGCUCUUGUAAAUAUGUUUGGUCAUGGUUAGGAUGAUAAAUCUUUGUCGUGUCAAAUUGUUUUACAGUUCAAAUAGUUCUUUUGCACAGGUGUUAUUUCCAGUUUUUGUAAUGGGAGUGAAUUAGCAUGAUUAAGUCAUUGUAGCAUGUCAGAAGAUCUGCAGACAUAUCAUGUUGUUUUUAAAGGGGCCAUCCAACAAUUUAGUAUUGCACUUGUAUGAAGUUGGGGGACUCGUAAGAGAAAUAUAUUUUAAAUUAAUCUUCAAAAUUGAAGCAGCAGAGCCUGGGACUUUUUUACUCUGAAGCUGGGAUUUGACCCAUACUUCAGAACACUGGAAAAACAUUGGAUCUACAUUUGCCAUUAUGUAACACAAGAGCAUAUUUUGUUUGAUCAUCCUUGUAUUGUAAAUGUCCAUAUAUUGCGCAACCCCUAAUUGUGUGCCCUCCAGGCCCAAGCCAAAACAAUCCUGAUGACAUAAUCUGGGCUUUUUGUUUUGAACAUAUAAGCUUCCCUCAGAGCAACAGAAACAAAUACGCAAAUGUUUUCAUAGGCAUACUCUCUAUGAUGAGUUAACUAACCUUAAUGUUUAAAAGUGCCUCUUUAAUGUUUUGUAUAAUUGUAUUUUGUCAACUGCAAAUCUCUGAUGAAAUGAUUUUCAAACUGUUUUGCAACUUGUGGUGGAAAUAAAAUUGCUUAAAGUAAAA